rnacentral:rRNA from 1 species
CAUGCAAGUCGAACGAAGCACUGAGAGUUUGAGAUUUCGGUCAAGAACUUUCUUUGACUUAGUGGCGGACGGGUGAGUAAUGCGUGAGCAACCUGCCUUUCAGAGGGGGACAACAGUUGGAAACGACUGCUAAUACCGCAUGAUAUAUUCGGAUGGCAUCGUCUGAAUAUCAAAGAUUUAUCGCUGAAAGAUGGGCUCACGUCUGAUUAGUUAGUUGGUGAGGUAACGGCUCACCAAGACUGCGAUCAGUAGCCGGACUGAGAGGUUGAACGGCCACAUUGGGACUGAGAUACGGCCCAGACUCCUACGGGAGGCAGCAGUGGGGAAUAUUGGGCAAUGGGCGAAAGCCUGACCCAGCAACGCCGCGUGAAGGAAGAAGGUCUUCGGAUUGUAAACUUCUUUUAUCAGGGACGAAGAACGUGACGGUACCUGAUGAAUAAGCCACGGCUAACUACGUGCCAGCAGCCGCGGUAAUACGUAGGUGGCAAGCGUUAUCCGGAUUUACUGGGUGUAAAGGGCGCGUAGGCGGGGAUACAAGUCAGAUGUGAAAUCUAUGGGCUUAACCCAUAAACUGCAUUUGAAACUGUAUCUCUUGAGUGUCGGAGAGGUAGACGGAAUUCCUAGUGUAGCGGUGAAAUGCGUAGAUAUUAGGAGGAACACCAGUGGCGAAGGCGGUCUACUGGACGAUAACUGACGCUGAGGCGCGAAAGCGUGGGG